AGAAAUUAGGUCAUACUAUUAAAAAUAACCAUCUGUCCAGCAGGGAUCUCCUUACAGGACCAGUUCUUUGCAUCAAAGAGCUUUAUUCCUUGUCACAUUUGGAUUCUGUAGAGCUAAGGAACUGUGUCAGGAGAACAGAAUUUUGAGGUAACAACAGCAAAAACAAUCUCCUUGCUCAUACGAUCCAUAAGUCUAGUUUUGCAAUGGGCCCAACCUCUCCAUCUGGAAGAUGAAAAUGACAGACUGAGAGCGAAUGGUGUAGAGAAGCCUCAGUGAACAGGUAACAAGUGGUGCAUAAGAACAGGAAAUAAUAGAGAGCACACAGCAAUGAAGGAAAGUGAAGAAGUGUUCCAAGUCUUUUGUGUCCAAGUUAAAUUGCCUGCAGAUAGAGAUCUCAUGGAACACAUCCUUGGCUGUGCCAUCAUUUGGCAUCCUUUUACAUGCCAGCAUUGCCAAGAGUUAUUAAGCAGUCAUAUUUGAAAACAUUUUGCAGGUGCCAGCCUGUACUCUCCCCUGUGUUAAUGAGAAUUUGACCAUCUACUGUAGGUGUAACGUACAGGGGAGGAGGAGCAGAGUCUGUGAACAAGCCACUUUUGCAUUGAAAGUAGAUCAGUGGCAGAUUAACAACAGGAUGUCUCUGCAUUUUAAUUAAAAUAAAAUAAAAUAAAAUCACGUAACACUGGGCCAGACUAUUAGAAACCGCUACUUGUGCAACCCAAUUGAGACAUCUGGUCUCUUUACCUUGGUCACUGAUGAGAAAAUAAAGACAAUCAGGCCUGGAAUCUGGACAAACCUGAGAUCAAAUAUUUCUACUGUUUAACAGUUUCCUUAUCAGAGAGUGAUGUGGUUGAUUUGAAGACACAGCAAUGUGAAUUAAUUUCUCUUUCUUUCAUUCAGCUUUUUUUACAGUUCUGUGUGGGAGAAAAAACAAUGCCUAGUUCAUUUCAAGAAUCAAAAGGACUCUGUCUUUUCCUUGAGCUAUUCCCACUCCUUUCAUUCCUCCCCAUGCUUUUUCUCCUUAUCCUCCCUCAUUCUCCUAUACUGCACACAUGGCCCCUUUAUGUUUGCAAGCAGCACAUUAACCCGAAAGGUUAACAAGCGGAGGGCUCAGGUGCACUCCAUACUCUUGUAGCAUUACUAAUGCUGUGGUCAUGGACUUGGAAUGGCAUUCUGGAAAAUUAGUUCUUUUGUGAUCUCUGUGCUCAGAGCCACUCUGCUGUUUUCUGUGUUCUAUAACUGCAUUUUUAUGCUGAGCUUUCCAUGUCUCUGAGAAUAUGGGUUUGGUUUUUUUUGCUCAUUCCAUUACCCAUUCCCUGGGAGCACAACAGAGUUAUUUGUGAGACCAACACCAACUGCAAUAUGGUAGAUAUGUCAGUGCCAGCAAAUUUUGUUAAGUACUUCUGUGCAUGUAAAAGCAGCAGAAGAGGUCAUGGCAAAGGGGCAUGCAAAAGCCUUGAAUGGAAGCCUCUCAAUCUAAAUUCCUCUUAGCUGGGCAGUUACAUAGUCGAACUCCAGAAAUCACUAGCAAUAUCUCAGUCACCUUAAUUCUGAGACUGUCUACCACAUUUAAGAUCUACAAUAUUCAGAUACAUCAUUAUUAAAAAUCCCCCAAAUACUUAAAUAUCAUAUCCCCAAGGAAAUCUAAGAAAUGUUUAUUCCAGAAAGAUGAACAUCCAUCUUCUGAAAAACUCAGCUGUAAGGAAUCAGUAAGGGCAGACUGAUAAAUAGAAGUCAAAAUUGCAGGAGUAAGUGGCCAAGCACUGACGUGGCUGUAAUGCAGCUGUAAUCUAGCUCAAGUGACACCAGGGAUUAGAACUUCAAUUUACAGGCAUUUUCCAAGCUGAGGCAUCCCUCAUUACAACCUUCACCAGUAAGCCAGUUGGCAGUAGCUAUUUGAACCCUGAUGGCAGGGAAUGUAUUGAGUGUCCUGGCAUCAGGUUUGGAAAGACAGUGACUUAAAACCAUACACUAGCUUAAUUUAAAUACUGGUUGUUGGUGGUCAUCCUUUGUAUAGCACUUAUUUUAUUUUAUUAACAAAUUGGCAAAUCGUCAAUUUAUUAAGUAAAAAUUUUGGGUUUUUGUUGUUGUUUCAUUUUCAUGUUCCCUUAUUCAAUUUAUCUUGAAUUUACUUGAAGAAAACAUGCAAAAGAAGAUCUGGUGAAGGAUCUGAAGUGGAAGAAUUGUAUACCAGUCCCGCUGAGCAGAAACAACUAUAGAACAGAAAGACUUUAUGAGCUACAGGAAGAGUGAUCAAAAGAGAGCUUUAUUGUAAUACACAUAGCUCACAUAGGAGGAAUUAGAGUUGGAGACAGUCAGGGCAUGUUUUGCACACCACUACCAUGUCCAGUUCUGUGAAGGGAAGUUCAGUCUGCCAUUGAGUGAAUAUCUUCCCCCUGGAACAUAGCCUUUUGCAGCUCUGAAGGGUCGUUAUAUUGAAGUCCAAACAAUGGAAAUGCCUCAGACUUCUUAUCUCUCAGGAAUUUAAUGCAUUCUUUCUCUUAGAAGCACCACACUUCGAAGUGAAGGAACUGAAGACUGAGCAGUGAACAUGAAAAAUCACAUAUUCUCCAAAGACAUAACCAGACUUGAAGUCAGACUGACAUGGAAAGCAAUUCAAGGUCUCUGUAUGCUUUCCACUUCAAGUAAUUGGUGGAGAAGAGGUUGUGAGGAAUGAUUAGGCCUUGACCCAUUUUCCUUUGUACUUUUCUGCGUGGUGAUCCAAGUCAACCCUGUAUUGAUCCCAAACAAAAUAAUGCUAUGGCUGAAAUAGAAUUCGAAAAAGUGAACUAAGGCAGUAUAAUUACUAACAGUCUGUGUGGGUUUACAGAAAACAAAUCUUGUCAAACUAACUUAAUAUUUUUUAUGAGAUUAUAGAUUUUGUUGACAAAGGUAUUUCUAUUGAUGAAAUGCACUUACAUUUCUGCAAGGCAUUAACCAGAGAAACAGGACAUUUCAAAACCAAUCUGGAAUACUUAAAAUGGUCUUAAGCCUGACAAGCCAAAAAGUCUAAAAACAAGGUAGGAAGCCAACAAAACACGCAAUAUGUUUUUAAUUAGGUUGAGACACAAAGCCAUCAAGAGCAAAGAUUUCAUGUCAACAGCAAUAACCCCUUUCUGGGAAGCGGUAACAAAAUGUUUAGCAGUUGAACCUUUAGCUUAGCCAGCCUAACAUUCAGAUAGCUUUGUUUUCAGCAUUAUGAAUCCGUAUUACUACUGUCAUGGUUAAUAAAAAGCACAGAAGAAACUGGGAAGACCUGGCCCUUCACAAGUUUUUCUUCCUUAAAUGAAAAUGGAGUCAGCUUAUGAGUUCACUGGCCUUCUAGCACAUGGUCUCUACUAGUUUUGUUUAGCACAUUAUAUACAUUUCUUCAGUUUGGUGAAAUCUCUCAUUGCUCAUUCCCUAUUUCACAUUUAUUCUACCACCCAAGCAUUGAAACUGAACACUCUCUUCAUAGUCCUACUGAGUUACAGUAUUAACACCUCAUACUGUAUCCUCUCCCCUCAGCAAGUGUAGGUAAUGCUAUAACUUCUUCUGUGCCAUCAGGAAAAAAAAAAAAAAAAAACACUGAAAAAAGGACGUGUCCAAGAAAAAUACAUUUCAGAGCCUUAUAUACCUUCUCAGGUUGUUGUUAAUAACUUUUCUUCAGUUGUCCAGGUAACAAGUAAAUAAAAGAAUAUUAAAAAAACAGACAGAAUAUUUUUAGUGUAGUAUUAAUUCAUAAUAUAACUUGUUUGUCCAGGACCAUAUCCACAUGAAAUUGGAUAUAUUUUUAUAUGUUUUCUGGAUAACACCAUUGUGAGAAGGAUCAUUAACAGUUCAAGAAUAUUCUGUCUCACUGUAAUUAUAUACUUAAAUAAUUUGAUAUUAUAUAGCUAGUGAAAGCUGCUCUCUUACCAGAGUGGAAAAAAUAGAGCCCUUCACAACAGGAAAAAUGAGGUUUAGUGGUACUGGUAUUCAAAUUCAAGCACAUACUUAAAUCUUUGCAGAGCUGAGGCCUAGGGUGGUGGUUAGUUUUAUUUCAGAGAUGAACAGGCAGUCAUCUUGUUGGAAUGACACAAAGUAAUGGAAAUGCAUCAUGCCAUCUGUUGGCAAACCACAGUGCUGCAGCCGGAAGGUUUACAAAACCAUGCCGCAUGUUAUCACCACCAAGCAAAUUAGAAGAAAUCAUAGGGAGUCCUCACAAACAAGCAAGCAUAUAAAAGAGCAAUUGCCAGAAAAUCUAAAUUUGGUUUUCCCUUUAUUUGCACACAUCUGCUAACUGAACACAUUGCAGUUUGAUUACAUAGCCAAAUUACCUUUUCCUAGCACAGCUACUGUUGAGAGAUUAAUUUCUUCCAAGUGUGAGUUUUUGUGCAUCUCUGCAGAUACACUAGAGUAGAAUGAAUUGGUAUAAACAGUGUCUGUGGUCCUGUGGUCCUGAUGAUUUCCCUGUGUAAGACAAUGCUAUCAAAAUAUGACUAGAAUUAAUUAAUUUCUAUUCCUAAUAAAUGUAUUUAAUGAAAGCUUUCUAUUAAAAUUGCCACCAUUAUAUAUGUAAAUUGUGGUAUUAUGGAAUUAUAGAAUCAUUAAGGUUUGAAAAGACAUUUAUCAACAUCAAACCCAGCCAUCAACCUGAUCUACUGAGUCCCAUCACUAAACUAUGUCCUUUGGUGCCAUGUCCAGGAAUGGGGAUUCCAUCAUUUCCCUGGGCAAUUCAUUCCAAUAUUUAGCCACCCUCUCUGUGAAGAAACCCUUCCUGAUAUCCUAUCAAAACCUCCACUGCAUGAACUUGAGACUAUUUUCUCAUGUCCUGUCUCAUCAUCUGAGAAAGAAGACUGAAAUUCUCCUCACUGAAAAAUAUUUUCCUUGGAUUUUUUUUUUUUUAAUUAUUAUUGUUAUUAUUUAAGCACAAUAGAACACCUGGGUAUGUAAUAAAUACCAGAGUUUUUUCUUAUUUUGUGGCAUCCAUAGUGGUGUAUCCC
ensembl:lncRNA